AUUGCUACAAAACAUCUCUGAUACUUACUUCAAGCAUCACUUCCAAAUUCUCAACACACAUUUUCCAAACACAACAAUCAUUUAUGUGUGAGAUAGUCCUUUCCGCAAAUUCUUACUUGACAUAAGUCACUUUCUUACGUCUCUCUAAUACUCGUGCUCGACACGUUUCCAAAGGCUAACUUUCUUAUCCCCAAACAUCCAAAGGUAACACUUCGCACUUAGCUUCUCAU
rnacentral:lncRNA from 1 species